rnacentral:rRNA from 15 species
UCUAUUUAUCAAAUACCCUACUUGGGGAAUGGCUUGGCUUGGAACGCCGACGAAGGACGUGGUAAGCUGCGAUAAGCUUAGGCGAGGUGCAUACAACCUUUGAACCUAAGAUUUCCUAAUGGGACUUCCUACUGUAAAGUGAUCCGUAAGGAUUGGGAACGCGGGGAAUUGAAGCAUCUUAGUACCCGCAGGAAGAGAAAUCAAAUGAGAUUCCGUGAUUAGAGGCGAUUGAAAGCGGAUUAGGGCAAACUGAAUCCCUUCGGGGAGAUGUGGUGUUAUAGGGCCUUUGUUCAAUGAUUUGAUGAGAACUGAAGUUGACUGGAAUGUCAUACCAUAGAGGGUGAAAGUCCCGUAAGUGAAUCUGAUAUGAUUUAUAAGGUUCCUGAGUACCGUGCGUUGGAUAUCGCGCGGGAAAUUGGGAGGCAUCGACUUCCAACCCUAAAUACGUUCCAAGACCGAUAGCGUAUUAGUACCGCGAGGGAAAGCUGAAAAGUAUCCUUAAUAGGAUGUGAAAAGUGCCUGAAACCAAGUAGGUAUGGAAUGGCAUGGCCCCAAAGGCAACUAUAUCGAAGGAAGCUACUGCGAAGUAGUGUUACGAGGUAUAGAGCCAGGGUUGUGUCGUCCGUUUCGAAAAACGGGCCGGGGAGUGUAUUGUUGUGGCGAGCUUAAAAUCUUUAAGGUUGUAGGCGAAGGGAAACCAACAAGUUCGCAGUUUAUCCAGGAACGGGGUCUUAAGGGCCCGGAGUCACAGCGAUACGACCCGAAACCGGGCGAUCUAGGCCAGGGCAAGGUGAAGUCCCUCAACUGAGGGAUGGAGGCCUGCAGAGGUGUUGCCGUUCGAAGCACUCUUCUGACCUUGGUCUAGGGGUGAAAGGCCAAUCGAGCCCGGAAAUAGCUGGUUCCCCCCGAAGUGACUCUCAGGUCAGCCGAAGUUUAGAUAGUCGGCAAGGUAGAGCACUGAUAGGGAGGUUAGGGGAAGAAAUUCCUCGCUUUUCUGUCAAACUCCGAACUUGUCGUCGUCGUAUACUUCGAGUCAGGGCAUACGGGUAAGCUGUAUGUCCGAGACGGGAAUAGCCGUGACCUGGGUUAAGGUCCCUAAGUGCCGAUUAAGUGUGAACACGAAGGGUGUCCUUGGUCUAAGACAGCAGGGAGGUUGGCUUAGAAGCAGCCAUCCUUUAACGAGUGCGUAACAGCUCACCUGUCGAGAUCAAGGGUCCCGAAAAUGGACGGGGCUAAAAUCGGCCACCGAGACCCAGGAGUACCGUAAGGUAAUCUUGUAGGGGGGCGUUCUGCGAGGGCAGAAGUUCGGCUGUGAAGUCGAGUGGACCUCGUAGAAAUGAUGAUCCCGGUAGUAGUAACAGCAUAAGUGGGGUGAGAAUCCCCACCGCCGAAGGGGCAAGGGUUCCACAGCAAUGUUCGUCAGCUGUGGGUAAGCCGGUCCUAACUCUCGAGUUAACCUCUUUGAGAGGAAAGGGAAACAGGUUAAUAUUCCUGUGCCGUUCAAAUACAUGUGGCAACACAAGGUCAAUUUCUGACGCUUUGGGAUAAGUUUUGUACUUUUGUCUGAGUAUUCAAGCUUAUAAGUCCGAGGAGAAUUGUAAUAAUGAGAAUCGGAUGAAAGAGUAAUGAGUUUUCCUUUAGGAGAAUUUAACUGAUUCCUUGAGCCCGUGAAAAGGGAAUUGACAUGGAUUUUGAACGUCCGUACCCAGAACCGACACUGGUGCCCCUAGGUGAGUAUCCUAAGGCGUAGCGGAAUAAUCUAGUCGAGGGAAGUCGGCAAAAUGGCUCCGUAACUUCGGGAGAAGGAGUGCCAGUGAUCUUUAACCGGAUCGCUGGUCGCAGUGACCAGGGAGGUCCGACUGUUUAAUACAAACAUAGGUCUUAGCGAGCCUGAAAAGGUGUGUACUAAGGCCGACGCCUGCCCAGUGCUGGUACGUGAACCCCGGUUCCAACCGGGCGAAGCGCCAGUAAACGGCGGGGGUAACUAUAACCCUCUUAAGGUAGCGAAAUUCCUUGUCGGGCAAGUUCCGACCUGCAUGAAUGGCGUAACGAGACCUCCACUGUCCCCGACUAGACUCCGGUGAACCUACCAUUCCGGCGCAAAGGCCGGAGACGUCCAGUGGGAAGCGAAGACCCCGUGGAGCUUUACUGCAGCCUGUCGUUGGGGCAUGAUUGUGGGUGUACAGUGUAGGUGGGAGCCAUCGAAACUUUUUCGCCAGGAAAAGUGGAGGCAUCCAUGGGACACCACCCUCCUAUGAUUAUGUCCCUAACCCUUAUAGGGGACACCGGUAGGUGGGCAGUUUGGCUGGGGCGGUACCCUCCUAAAAAUGCAUCAGGAGGGCCCAAAGGUUGGCUCAAGCGGGUCAGGACUCCGCUGUUGAGUGUAAGGGCAAAAGCCAGCCUGACUUUGUUGCCAACAAAACGCAACGAAGAGACGAAAGUCGGGCCUAACGAACCUCUGUGCCUCACCGAUGGGGGCCAGAGAUGACAAAAAAGCUACCCCGGGGAUAACAGAGUUGUCGCGGGCAAGAGCCCAUAUCGACCCCGCGGCUUGCUACCUCGAUGUCGGUUUUUCCCAUCCUGGGUCUGCAGCAGGACCCAAGGGUGGGGCUGUUCGCCCAUUAAAGGGGAUCAUGAGCUGGGUUUAGACCGUCGUGAGACAGGUUGGUUGCUAUCUGCUGGAUGUGUUGGCUGUCUGAGGGAAAGGUGGCUCUAGUACGAGAGGAACGGGCCGUCGGUGCCUCUAGUCGAUCGGUUGUCUGACAAGGCAUUGCCGAGCAGCCACGCACCAAGAGAUAAGGGCUGAAAGCAUCUAAGCCCGAAGUUCAUCCUGAAAAUAGACAGCCUUUUCCUUCGGGAACAAGGACUCCCAUAGAACAUGGGUUUGAUAGGUUAGGGGUGUAAGUGCCAAGGUUUUCCGAGGCAUUAAGCCCGCUAAUACUAAUAGUUCAAGUGAUAAAAGAU